AACGAACGUUGGCGGCAUGGAUUAGGCAUGCAAGUCGAAUGAAUGCCAUUUGGGAAACUGGAUGGCGGAAAUGGCGAAAGGGGCAGUAAUACAUGGACAACCUACCCUGGGGUUGGGCAUAGCCGUUCUAACGAGCGGGUAAUUCCCAGCGAGUCGGCGUGGUGGCAUCAUCGUGCCGGGAAAGAAUUUCGCCUCGGGAGGGGUUCAUGAGCUAUCAGCUAGUUGGCGGGGUAACGGCCCACCAAGGCGUAGACGGCUAGCGGGUGUGAGAGCACGACCCGCGCCACUGGCACUGAGACACUGGCCAGACACCUACGGGUGGCUGCAGUCGAGGAUCUUCGUCAAUGGGCGCAAGCCUGAACGAGCGAUGCCGCGUGAGCGAUGAAGGCCUUCGGGUUGUAAAGCUCAAAAGAAGCGAGAAAGGGAAACUUGAUCAAGCUUCAGUAAGCUCGGGCUAAGUUCGUGCCAGCAGCCGCGGUAAGACGAACCGAGCGAACGUUGUUCGGAAUCACUGGGCUUAAAGGGCGCGUAGGCGGGUGCCCAAGUCCGGGGUGAAAUCCCACAGCUCAACUGUGGAACUGCCUCGGAUACUGGGCGUCUCGAGGGUGGCAGGGGUAUGCGGAACUAUCGGUGGAGCGGUGAAAUGCGUUGAUAUCGAUAGGAACUCCGGUGGCGAAGGCGGCAUACUGGUCCACUUCUGACGCUGAGGCGCGAAAGCCAGGGGAGCAAACGGGAUUAGAUACCCCGGUAGUCCUGGCCCUAAACGAUGGGAACUAGCUAGUAGGCUUCACAUGGGUUUACUGGCGAAGCAAAAGUGCUAAGUUCCCCGCCUGGGGAGUAUGGUCGCAAGGCUG
rnacentral:rRNA from 1 species